rfam:Citrus sinensis cultivar Ridge Pineapple sweet orange scaffold00078_contig_37, whole genome shotgun sequence.
AUACCAUAAUGAGAACAUCUCCUGAGUAACUCCUUAAAUCUUUCCCAUGCAUCAUACAAACUCUCAUCUUCAAAUUGAUAGAAAGAUGUGAUCUCAUUCCUCAAUUU